GAAUUGACGGGGGCCCGCACAAGCAGUGGAGUAUGUGGUUUAAUUCGAAGCAACGCGAAGAACCUUACCAGGGCUUGACAUCCCUCUGACAGGCAUAGAGAUAUGCCCUCUCUUCGGAGCAGAGGAGACAGGUGGUGCAUGGUUGUCGUCAGCUCGUGUCGUGAGAUGUUGGGUUAAGUCCCGCAACGAGCGCAACCCCUGUUGUUAGUUGCCAUCAUUAAGUUGGGCACUCUAACGAGACUGCCGGUGACAAAUCGGAGGAAGGUGGGGAUGACGUCAAAUCAUCAUGCCCCUUAUGUCCUGGGCUACACACGUACUACAAUGGCGACUACAGAGGGCAGCGAGACCGUGAGGUGGAGCAAAUCCCCAAAAGUCGUCCCAGUUCGGAUUGCAGGCUGCAACCCGCCUGCAUGAAGUCGGAAUUGCUAGUAAUGGCAGGUCAGCAUACUGCCGUGAAUACGUUCCCGGGCCUUGUACACACCG
rnacentral:rRNA from 1 species